GGAUGGGUGGCCGAGCGGUUUAAGGCACCAGUCUUGAAAACUGGCGUGCGGCAACGUACCGGGAGUUCGAAUCUCUCCCCAUCCGCCA
rnacentral:tRNA from 1 species